AAACUUAAAUGAAUUGACGGGAACCCGCACAAGCGGUGGAGUAUGUUGUUUAAUUCGAAGAUACACGAAGAACCUUACCAGGUCUUGACAUACCAUUGACAGGUGUAGAGAUACACUCUCCUUCGGGCAAUGGAUACAGGUGGUGCAUGGUUGUCGUCAGCUCGUGCCGUGAGGUGUUGGGUUAAGUCCCGCAACGAGCGCAACCCUCAUUGUUAGUUACUACCAUUCAGUUGAGGACUCUAAUGAGACUGCCAACGACAAGUUGGAGGAAGGUGGGGAUGACGUCAAAUCAUCAUGCCCUUUAUGACCUGGGCUACAAACGUACUACAAUGGCCAAUACAAAGAGAUGCGAAGCGGUGACGUGAAGCGAACCUCAGAAAGUUGGUCUCAGUUCAGAUUGAAGUCUGCAACUCGACUUCAUGAAGGCGGAAUCGCUAGUAAUCGCGGGUCAGCAGACCGCGGUGAAUACGUUCCCGGGUUUU
rnacentral:rRNA from 1 species